rnacentral:rRNA from 1 species
UACGUAGGGUGCGAGCGUUGUCCGGAAUUAUUGGGCGUAAAGAGCUCGUAGGCGGUUUGUUGCGUCGGCUGUGAAAUCCCGAGGCUCAACCUCGGGUCUGCAGUCGAUACGAGCAAACUAGAGUGUUGCAGGGGAGACUGGAAUUCCUGGUGUAGCGGUGAAAUGCGCAGAUAUCAGGAGGAACACCGGGUGGCGAAGGCGGGUCUCUGGGCAGUAACUGACGCUGAGGAGCGAAAGCGUGGGGAGCGAACAGG